ACGAACGCUGGCGGCGUGCCUAAUACAUGCAAGUCGAGCGAAGUUUUUCUGGUGCUUGCACCGGAAAAACUUAGCGGCGAACGGGUGAGUAACACGUAAAGAACCUGCCUCAUAGACUGGGACAACUAUUGGAAACGAUAGCUAAUAACGGAUAACAGCAUUAACUGCAUGGUUGAUGUUUAAAAGUUGGUUUUGCUAACACUAUGAGAUGGCUUUGCGGUGCAUUAGCUAGUUGGUGGGGUAAAGGCCUACCAAGGCGACGAUGCAUAGCCGACCUGAGAGGGUGAUCGGCCACACUGGGACUGAGACACGGCCCAGACUCCUACGGGAGGCAGCAGUAGGGAAUCUUCCGCAAUGGGCGAAAGCCUGACGGAGCAACGCCGCGUGAGUGAAGAAGGAUUUCGGUUCGUAAAGCUCUGUUGUUAGGGAAGAAUGAUUGUGUAGUAACUAUACACAGUAGAGACGGUACCUAACCAGAAAGCCACGGCUAACUACGUG
rnacentral:rRNA from 1 species